GGUCGGUUAGCUCAGUUGGUUAGAGCGUGGUGCUAAUACGAGCAACGUGUUUACGCCAAGGCCGCGAGUUCGACCCUCGUACUGACCA